ensembl:snRNA U6 U6 spliceosomal RNA
GUGCUCACUUCAACAGCACAUAUACUAAAACUGGAACAAUAAGAAAAGAUUAGCACAGCCUCUGUGGAAGAAUGACAUGCAAAUUUGUAAAGUGUUCCAUAUUUUU